UACGAAGGGUGCAAACGUUGUUCGGAAUUACUGGGCGUAAAGGGCUCGUAGGUGGCCAACUAAGUCGGACGUGAAAUCCCUCAGCUUAACUGGGGAACUGCGUCCGAUACUGGAUGGCUUGAGUUUGGGAGAGGGAUGCGGAAUUCCAGGUGUAGCGGUGAAAUGCGUAGAUAUCUGGAGGAACACCGGUGGCGAAGGCGGCAUCCUGGACCAACACUGACACUGAGGAGCGAAAGCCAGGGGAGCAAACGGG
rnacentral:rRNA from 1 species